AAGUCGUAACAAGGUUUCCGUAGGUGAACCUGCGGAAGGAUCAUUAGAAAAUCACCGGCUUAGCCGGUAAUAAAUUCUAUCCACCUUGUGUGCAAUCAAUGGAAAAGAAAGAGAGAAAAUUUGGAUGCUUUUUCGUAUCCAGCCUCUCUAAUUUUUUUUUAUAAACUCCAUCAAAUUUUGAAUAAAACUAAUUUUUUUUAAUAAAAAAUAUUAUACAACUUUCAACAACGGAUCUCUUGGCUCUC
rnacentral:misc_RNA from 1 species